CAUUUAUUUAUCUUUGCACGUGAGCGUAUGCCUUGUAUAUUAGCGCUUAUGUUGCGAGACACCUGGAAAUUUGUACCUUGCGAAAAAUCCAUUCAUUUUCCACGUAGUUUAACCUGUUUAUUAACUAAGUUACCCCUCCUAUUUUGAUUUUGCAAGUUAAAAUACUAAAAAUACAAUAAGAUGGAAAAUAUUAAUUAGAUUCAAGAAUGCUUGGUAAAUAUUAAAUGAACAAUAUAUCUUUAUUGUCUUUUGAUAAAAACAGGUAAUCAAAGUGAAACAUAAACAGUAAACACGAUCUUGGGUAAAAUUGCUUGAAUGUUUAGUAGACCUCAACAAAUGCACAAUCAAUCAGCAUCAACUAGUAGCAGUGAAAGUAGAGAUAAUAGCACAUCCGAACAUGUUCUCUUACCCUAUUACUACACGAUUCGUUUGUUACGAUAUAUACAAUAAUCUCAGUUGCUAAUAUCUGAAGCUGACUGUACCAAGGCAUCGCACUGUAAUAUGCAAUUAUGAAUAAGUCUAUCACUCCUUGGAUCUGUAAUAUCUCUUGAUAAGAAAUAAUUUUCUAAUAUGACGAUUUCAAAACUAUAAAUCAUUACAUGCUACAUGU